UACGUAGGGGGCAAGCGUUGUCCGGAUUUAUUGGGCGUAAAGAGCGUGUAGGCGGCCGUACAGGUCAGCUGUGAAAACUCGAGGCUCAACCUCGAGACGUCGGUUGAAACCGUACGGCUAGAGUCCGGAAGAGGAGAGUGGAAUUCCUGGUGUAGCGGUGAAAUGCGCAGAUAUCAGGAGGAACACCAAUAGCGAAGGCAGCUCGCCGGGACGUUACUGACACUGAGGCGCGAAAGCGUGGGGAGCGAACAGG
rnacentral:rRNA from 1 species